CCUGCCCCUAGAGGCAUUUCAAGUAUGGCUACCAUGUCAUGUGUGCAUCAGUAGGUGGCAGAGAGGAGAGAGGCUAUGUCUACACUCAGUGUUCUGACCUGUGAAUAAGCCUGAGAUGGCCACCAGC